rnacentral:rRNA from 1 species
GAUGAACGCUGGCGGCGUGCCUAAUACAUGCAAGUCGAGCGAACAGACGAUGAGCUUGCUCCUCUGACGUUAGCGGCGGACGGGUGAGUAACACGUGGAUAACCUACCUAUAAUACUGGGAUAACUUCGUGAAACCGGAGCUAAUACCGGAUAAUAUAUUUAACCGCAUGGUUCAAUAUUGAAAUACGGUUUUUCUGUCACUUAUCGAUUGAUCCUCCCCGCAUUAGCUAGUUGGUAAGGUAACGGCUUACCAAGGCGACGAUGCGUAGCCGACCUGAUAGGGGGAGCGGCAACACUGGAACGGAGACACGGUCAAGACGACUACGGGAGGCAGCAGUAGGGAAUCUUCCGCAAUGGGCGAAAGCAUGACGGAGCAACGCCGCGUGAGUGAUGAAGGUCUUCGGAUCGUAAAACUCUGUUAUUAGGGAAGAACAAAUGUGUAAGUAACUAUGCACGUAUUGACGGUAACUAAUCAGAAAGCCACGGCUAACUACGUG